AUGGCGCUCAGCCUCCGCAAGAAGCAGCUCGAUUUGAUCACGCGGAUGCUCCACCUGAACCAGCAGCAGCCGUCGCCGGACGGCGGCGGCGGGGAGGGCGAUGAGGAGGCCUACAAGAUCCUGGUGAUGGACGGGCCCUGCAUCUCGCUCCUCUCGCCGGUGCUCCGCGUCGGCGACCUCCGCAAGCACGGCGUCACCCUCCACCUCAACAUCGACAAGGCGCGCCAGCAGGUCGCCGACGCGCCCGCGGUCUACCUCGUCCGCCCCACGCCCGCCAACGCCGACCGCAUCGCCGCCGACGCCGCCGCGGGGCUCUACGCCUCCUUCCACGUCAACUUCUCCACCUCCCUCCCGAGGCCCGUCCUCGACCGCCUCGCCGCCGCCACCGCCGCGUCCCGCUCCGCGCACCGCGUCGCCCGCGUCGCCGACCAGUACCUCGACUUCGUCUGCCUCGAGGACGGCCUCUUCUCGCUCGCCCAGCCGCGCGCCUACGUCGCCCUCAACGACCCGGCCGCCGCCGACUCGGACAUCACCUCGCUCGUCGAGGCCGUCGCGCUCGGCCUCUUCUGCGUCGUCGCCACGCUCGGCGCCGUGCCCAUCAUCAGGUGCGCCCGCGGCGGGCCGGCCGAGAUGGUCGCCGCCGCGCUGGACGCCCGCCUUCGAGAUCACCUCCUGGCCAAGCCAAACCUGUUCACGGAGGCUGCAUCCAGUGCCGCCUCGUCGUUCCAGCGCCCGGUCCUCUGCCUGUUUGACAGGAAUUUCGAGCUGUCCGUGGGGAUACAGCACGAUUGGAGCUACCGCCCCUUGGUCCACGACGUGCUGAGCUUCAAGCUGAACAAGCUGAAGUUGCCAACAGAGAAGUAUGAUCUGGAUGACUCGGACCCGUUUUGGGUGGCGAACAGCUGGUCGCCAUUCCCCAAAGUGGCCGAGGAGAUAGAAGCGCAGCUCGCCAAGUACAAGCAGGAUGUGGACGAGGUGAACCAGCGCACGGGUGGUGGUCGGGAUGGGGUUGAGUUUGAUGGAACAGAUCUUAUUGGCAACACCAAGCACCUCAUGAAUGCGGUGAACUCACUCCCGGAGCUGACCGAACGGAAGAAGAUGAUCGAUAAACACACGAAUAUUGCAACUGCGUUGCUCGGGCACAUCAAGGAGAGGUCUCUGGAUGGAUACUAUGAGUGCGAGAAUGAUAUGCUCGUGAAUGGUACUGUGGAUCGGAACAUGCUGCUGAGUCUCCUUAGAGGGAAGGGCACCAAGGAGGACAAGCUCCGGCUGGCCGUCACGUACCUGCUAUCCUUUGAGGCACCACCGGCAUCUGAACUUGAGCAGGUUGAGGCUGCGCUGCGGGAGUCAGAAGUAGACAUGUCUGCAUUCCAGUAUGUGAAGAGGAUAAAGUCGUUGAACACGCAAUUUGCUGCCGCGUCAAGCACAGCAAGCAGGAGCAACAUUGUUGAUUGGGCUGAGAAGCUUUACGGACAGUCCAUUAGUGCCGUGACAGCAGGCGUGAAGAAUCUCUUAUCAGAUGGGAGGCAGCUGGCUCUUACCAGGACUGUCGAAGCCCUCAUGGAAGGGAAACCAAACCCAGAGGUGGACAACUACCUCUUGUUUGAUCCACGGGCCCCUAGAUCAGGAACUGGUGGGCAGUUUAGAGGACCCUUCAGAGAAGCAAUUGUUUUCAUGAUUGGUGGUGGAAAUUACAUCGAGUAUAGGAGCUUAGUUGAGCUAGGGCAGCGCUCACAGCCUUCAAAGCAUGUCAUAUAUGGAGCAACGGAGAUUCUCAAUGGGGUGGAGUUUAUUCAGCAGCUCGCAGAAUUGGGACAGAAAGCGGGAUUAGGUGGUGGCAGCAGCAACCUACCACCACAGUAA
rnacentral:rRNA from 1 species